ACCGCGAUAGCUCAGCUGGUAAAGCAUCUGCCCGGUGUGCAGAGGGUCACCGGUUCGAUACCGGCUCGCGGCG
rnacentral:tRNA from 1 species